rnacentral:rRNA from 1 species
UACAGAGGGUGCGAGCGUUAAUCGGAAUUACUGGGCGUAAAGCGUGCGUAGACGGUUAUUUAAGUCGGGUGUGAAAGCCCCGGGCUCAACCUGGGAAUUGCAUUCGAGACUGAACAGCUAGGGUACGGUAGAGGGAAGUGGAAUUUCCGGUGUAGCGGUGAAAUGCGUAGAUAUCGGAAGGAACAUCAGUGGCGAAAGCGACUUCCUGGACCAGUACCGACGUUCAGGCACGAAAGCGUGGGGAGCAAACAGG